rnacentral:rRNA from 1 species
ACCAGACUCCUACGGGAGGCAGCAGUGGGGCCUCUUGCACAAUGGGGGCCACCCUGAUGCAGCGCCGCCGCGUGAGUGAAGAAGUAUUUCGGUAUGUAAAGCUCUCUCAGCAGGGAAGAAAAUGACGGUCCCUGACUAAGAAGCCCCGGCUAACUACGUGCCAGCAGCCGCGGUAAUACGUAGGGGGCAAGCGUUAUCCGGAUUUACUGGGUGUAAAGGGAGCGUAGACGGCAUGGCAAGUCAGAUGUGAAAGCCCGGGGCUCAACCCCGGGACUGCAUUUGAAACUGUCAGGCUGGAGUGCAGGAGAGGUAAGUGGAAUUCCUAGUGUAGCGGUGAAAUGCGGAGAUAUUAGGAGGACCACCAGUGGCGAAGGCGGCUUACUGGACUGUAACUGACGUUGAGGCUCGAAAGCGUGGGUAGCAAACAGGAUUAGAUACCCCGGUAUC